AACAACAGUAAUGUGUUUCCAUCUUUGAAGAGUGAGAAGCUGCCGAGCCAGCACUACAAUGGUCAUAAACACGGUUUUUGAAUAAGUUCAAUAAAUUCAAUGCACUUCUUGUUAAAAUUAUUGCAACAGAGAUAUUCUACUAACAGAAGUGAAGGCAGACAACACUUCUGCCUGUUUGUGAAAGCACUUGCAGCUUUGAUUUGAGAAAUGUGACAUAUUAUAGACAAAAAAGGAAAGCAAACCUUAUUUGGAAAAUCUAAGCAAAAAUGUAUGAGUGAGGAAAGUUACAAAAACCAAACAGGCCUUUAAAAAUAUUUGGGGGUUCCCAGAAAGACAUUUCCUGAGUUCUUUAUGACUAUCUGAAUCUCACAAACAAUAAGGAUAGGAAACAUGACAUCCAAGGACACGUGGCAGCACAGGCAAAAUGCCAGCGAUGAUGGAGAACAGUCACCCUGACGACAAGAGCAGCCUUGUUGAAGAGAAGAUGCCAGACAAUGGAACAUCCACUCCCAGGGGAGAGUCUGAAAGCCUGAGGUGUGUUGGAGCCUCCUGGUAUGAAAAGGAAUGUUCCACAUGCCAUUUCAAGACUGAAGCAUGGGUGAUGGAUACAUGGAUGCGUCUCAAGACUGAAAAAAAAAAUAAUAAAACAACAUGGAAACACUGUCGGAAGCAAUGGAAUGGAUUAGAAAGGACUGGUUGGGGUUACAGUCUGAGAUGGGAGGGCUGUGCUUGGAGUCACUGCUGGAGCCCAGGAUGCACCUUGCAGGUUCAAUAACAGUCCUGGCAAAGACCUCUUUCCUUGGCCAGACAAGCACAACCACUUAUUCCGGCUGAAGGGGCUGUGGCAGGUGUCUUGCCCUUUGGCUGUGUGCAGAUUAAGCUCCUGGUGGGUGCUGGGCCUCUACCUGAAGCUACCCCAAUGGUUAUUCAGCUCUAAGAGCUGUUGCUGAAUGCUGCUCUCUGACAAAGCUGGGCUGCAUGAAACCAGCUGAGUUUAGUGUUUGCAGGAGCUAUUUACCUGUGGAUGAUAGUCACAGUACUGCAUUUCAAUGGCAUAGGAAGUAGAGAAUAAAAAAAAUUGUUUUUA